rfam:Camelus ferus unplaced genomic scaffold scaffold212, whole genome shotgun sequence.
GUGGGUAUAGCUCAGUGAUAGAGUACAUGUUUAGCAUGCAUGAGGUCCUAGGUUUAAUCCCCAGUACCUCCU